AUGGGGAGGUUUUUGGUUAAGAGAGCAAGGAUUGAAAAUAUGAAUGAUGUGCAACCUGAAGUAGAAGUAGAGCAAAGGACUGAAAAUGUGAAUGAUGCGCAGCCUGAAAUAGAAGUAGAGCCACCAGCGCCUAACGUUGCCAAUGAAUUUAAUCCAAAUGCGAUUGAGCACGAUCCGGAAAAAAGAAAACAAAUUUGUGAGUAUCCUCCUGAUAUUCAAGACCAAGUGAGGAGAGCAUAUAUAUUGAAGGGUCCAAUGCAACCAGAUUUGAAUAAAUACCGUCGCACUGAAUUUGGAAGUUCGCAUUCCUCAAGAGCAUUUUCCAAAUCUUGGUAUAAAAGUAUGACUGGAUAG
rnacentral:rRNA from 1 species